rfam:Lactobacillus rossiae DSM 15814 Scaffold3, whole genome shotgun sequence.
GAAAGGCCAUGAGGCAAGGUCGUCCUCACGAAUUGUGUCAGGACCGGAAGGUAGCAGCACUAAGUCCGCGACGGUUUGUGCUUCAUGUUUUAUUGAA